AGGACGAACGCUGGCGGCGUGCUUAACACAUGCAAGUCGAGCGGUAAGGCCUUUCGGGGUGCACGAGCGGCGAACGGGUGAGUAACACGUGGGUGAUCUGCCCUGCACUUCGGGAUAAGCCUGGGAAACUGGGUCUAAUACCGGAUAUGACCUCAGGUUGCAUGACUUGGGGUGAAAGUAUUUAUCGGUGCAGGAUGGGCCCGCGGCCUAUCAGUCUUGUUGGUGGGUAAUGGCCUACCAAGGCGACGACGGGUAGCCGACUGAGAGGGUGACCGGCACACUGGGACUGAGACACGGCCCAGACCUCCGUACGGGAGGCAGC
rnacentral:rRNA from 1 species